UUGCUUUGGUAGCACAUAUACUAAAAUCGGAGUGAUGCAGAGAAGAUUAGCAUGGCUUCUGCACAAGGACGACAUGAAAAUUCGUGAAGCGUUCCAUAUUUUU